rnacentral:rRNA from 1 species
AGCAGCCGCGGUAAUUCCAGCUCCAAUAGCGUAUAUUAAAGUUGUUGCAGUUAAAAAGCUCGUAGUUGAAUUUCGGGAUCAAUACGUCGGUCGUGCUUCGGUACGUACUGGCGUAAUUGAUUUCUCCCUUCUGACGAGCCAUGAUGUCAUUAACUUGGUGUCAUGGGAAAUCAGGACUGUUACUUUGAAAAAAUUAGAGUGUUUAAAGCAGGCUCACGCUUGAAUACAUUAGUAUGGAAUAAUGAAAUAGGACGUUCGAUCCUAUUUUUGUUGGUUUUUAGGAUCAACGUAAUGAUUAAUAGGGAUAGUUGGGGGCAUUAGUAUUCAAUUGUCAGAGGUGAAAUUCUUGGAUUUAUUGAAGACUAACUACUGCGAAAGCAUUUGCCAAGGAUGUUUUCAUUAAUCAAGAACGAAAGUUAGGGGAUCGAGGACGAUCAGAUACCGUCGUAGUCUUAACCAUAAACUAUGCCGACUAGGGAUCGGAUGAUGUUAAUUUUUUAAUGACUCAUUCGGCGCCUUA